GNGGGGGUGCUAAUACAUGCAAGUCGAGCGGACAGAAGGGAGCUUGCUCCCGGAUGUUAGCGGCGGACGGGUGAGUAACACGUGGGUAACCUGCCUGUAAGACUGGGAUAACUCCGGGAAACCGGAGCUAAUACCGGAUAGUUCCUUGAACCGCAUGGUUCAAGGAUGAAAGACGGUUUCGGCUGUCACUUACAGAUGGACCCGCGGCGCAUUAGCUAGUUGGUGAGGUAACGGCUCACCAAGGCGACGAUGCGUAGCCGACCUGAGAGGGUGAUCGGCCACACUGGGACUGAGACACGGCCCAGACUCCUACGGGAGGCAGCAGUAGGGAAUCUUCCGCAAUGGACGAAAGUCUGACGGAGCAACGCCGCGUGAGUGAUGAAGGUUUUCGGAUCGUAAAGCUCUGUUGUUAGGGAAGAACAAGUGCAAGAGUAACUGCUUGCACCUUGACGGUACCUAACCAGAAAGCCACGGCUAACUACGUGCCAGCAGCCGCGGUAAUACGUAGGUGGCAAGCGUUGUCCGGAAUUAUUGGGCGUAAAGGGCUCGCAGGCGGUUUCUUAAGUCUGAUGUGAAAGCCCCCGGCUCAACCGGGGAGGGUCAUUGGAAACUGGGAAACUUGAGUGCAGAAGAGGAGAGUGGAAUUCCACGUGUAGCGGUGAAAUGCGUAGAGAUGUGGAGGAACACCAGUGGCGAAGGCGACUCUCUGGUCUGUAACUGACGCUGAGGAGCGAAAGCGUGGGGAGCGAACAGGAUUAGAUACCCUGGUAGUCCACGCCGUAAACGAUGAGUGCUAAGUGUUAGGGGGUUUCCGCCCCUUAGUGCUGCAGCUAACGCAUUAAGCACUCCGCCUGGGGAGUACGGUCGCAAGACUGAAACUCAAAGGAAUUGACGGGGGCCCGCACAAGCGGUGGAGCAUGUGGUUUAAUUCGAAGCAACGCGAAGAACCUUACCAGGUCUUGACAUCCUCUGACAACCCUAGAGAUAGGGCUUUCCCUUCGGGGACAGAGUGACAGGUGGUGCAUGGUUGUCGUCAGCUCGUGUCGUGAGAUGUUGGGUUAAGUCCCGCAACGAGCGCACCCUUGAUCUUAGUUGCCAGCAUUCAGUUGGGCACUUUAAGGUGACUGCCGGUGACAAACCGGAGGAAGGGNGGGAUGACGUCAAUCANCAUGCCCCUUAUGACCUGGGCUACCACGUGCUACAUGGACGAACAAAGGCUGCAGACGCAAGGUUAGCCAUCCCCAAUCUGUUUCAUUCGA
rnacentral:rRNA from 1 species